GCACUGCUGAUGAGUCCAACAAUGGGACGAAAUGGUCGUCUAGUAC
rfam:Schistosoma rodhaini strain Burundi genome assembly, scaffold: SROB_scaffold0003335